UACCAGCACCCCGAGUGGUCGGGACGAUUAUUGGGCCUAAAGCAUCCGUAGCCGGUUCUACAAGUCUUCCGUUAAAUCCACCUGCUUAACCGAUGGGCUGCGGAGGAUACUAUAGAGCUAGGAGGCGGGAGAGGCAAGCGGUACUUAGUGGGUAGGGGUAAAAUCCGUUGAUCCAUUGAAGACCACCAGUGGCGAAGGCGGCUUCCUGGACUAAUACUGACGCUGAGGUGCGAAAGCGUGGGGAGCAAACAGG
rnacentral:rRNA from 1 species